UACUCCCAAUUGGGAGCUUGCUGGACAUGCUGCUUCUGGUGUCCUGCUUUUUGCAUUACCUUAUGGUGUCCUAACAAAGAUCAUUUGGAUAUGAUCAAAACGUUGACUUGAUUAUGCACAAAUAAAUGACCUUUUGAUGAUUUUACAAAAAUGACUCAGAGCGAGAAGGUGUCGCGUCAGCAUAUGAGGUUACAGAAGAAGAUGCAUAGCAGGACCACCACUUGCAAACAAAGGCCAUGGUCUGAGCCUUUCCUUGCUACUGCGUGGGGUGUAUGGCAUGUUUGCAAUUUUAUGUAUUUGACAGUAAACAUUCCCUAUAUUAUUA